GGUUUUCUCAGGUGAUGCACCCGGAAUCGGGCUCCCUCUUCUCUGGUUCCGGGUGCAUCAACCGAGAACCGCA
rfam:Myotis brandtii contig309879, whole genome shotgun sequence.